rnacentral:piRNA from 1 species
UGGGGCUUCCGGAGCUGUAAACACUCAACCC